rnacentral:lncRNA from 1 species
AGUAUGGUAUGAUAUGAUAUAUCGGUACAGUAUGGUAUGCUUCAUUCCAAAUGAUAUAGAGUGGUACAGUAAAUACUACUUGACCUUAGUUAUAUCAUAGACUAAUGAGGUCUUUUCAUCUCAUUACCCAUCUAUUUUUGAUAUUCACUUGAUCUGCAAAGAACUUGAUUACUUCUAUGCACCUAUGUCUAUUGGGAAGCAAACCACAUUGCCGAUCAUAUGACUAUGGUGUUCUGCUUCAUGGAGAACUACUAUCUAGACCUUGGAUUUCUCUUCUGAGAGUUUGAAGGCACAUGUUGGUUAUGUUUGAAAUACUUGAAGGCACAGUAAAUACUACUUGACCUUAGCUAUAUCAUAGACUAAUGAGGUCUUUUCAUCUCAUUACCCAUCUAUUUUUGAUAUUCACUUGAUCUGCAAAGAAGUUCAUUACUUCUAUGCACCUAUGUCUAUCGGGAAGCAAACCACAUUGCCGAUCAUAUGACUAUGGCGUUCUGCUUCAUGGAGAACUACUAUCUAGACCUUGGAUUUCUCUUCUGAGAGUUUGAAGGCACAUGUUGGUUAUGUUUGAAUAAGUGUAGCUGAAGGACUUGUCCCUUUUUCCAAUCAAAACAAAAAAAAUAAUAUAGCAUGAUGAUCAAGGUUUGCUAUGCCAGUCUAUACUAGUGUAUACUUAUACUCAGAAUGCCGAACUGGAUGCCAUAUAGGGCAUACCGACACUGUAAUAGGAUGGUACUGGUACAGAGUCCUGUAUCGAGACGACGAA